AUUGAACGCUGGCGGCAGGCCUAACACAUGCAAGUCGAGCGAGCGACGGGCGGGUGAGUGAUGCUUGGGAAUCUGGCUUAUGGAGAGGGAUAACGACGGGACACUGUCGCUAAUACCGCAUACCAUAGGAUGAGCCCAAGAGGGAUUAGGUAGUUGGUGGGGUAAUGGCCUACCAAGACGACGAUCUAUAGCUGGUCUGAGAGGAUGACCAGCCACACCGGGACUGAGACACGGCCCGGACUCCUACGGGAGGCAGCAGUGGGGAAUAUUGCGCAAUGGGGGCAACCUGACGCAGCCAUGCCGCGUGAAUGAAGAAGGCCUUCGGGUUGUAAAGUUCUUUCGGUGACGAGGCGUUAAUCACAGAAGAAGCACCGGCUAACUCCGUGCCAGCAGCCGCGGUAAUUC
rnacentral:rRNA from 1 species